rnacentral:lncRNA from 1 species
CGCAUUAAUCAGCAACAUAGCAAUAUGUUACAACUAAAAGAAGAUAGGAAAAAUAAAUGAAACAGUCUUACGAAUUAGGUUGAUUGACACAUGGGGAGAGGAACAACAAUUAACUAUCAACACAGCUACGAAUAUUUUUUGACCUUUUUCACAAAUAACACACUAAAGUUUAACAUUGGUUGGACCACAGCAUACCAUGCAAUUUUCUGACAGUAGAUGUGAGAAUUUUCUCUCCUUUUGUUUGUUCUUUCUUUGCUCACCUUUUCUUUAAAUUUUCACUCCUUUCUAGCUGCUAUUUUUUUUGACCUUUUUCACAAAUAACACACUAAAGUUUAACAUUGGUUGGACCACAACAUACCAUGCAAUUCUCUGACAGUAGAUGUGAGAAUUUUCUCUCCUUUUGUUUGUUCUUUCUUUGCUCACCUUUUUCUUCAAAUUUUC